rnacentral:rRNA from 1 species
AGAAUUUGGCUUCAGGUCGGGGACAACCACUGGAAACGGUGGCUAAUACCGGAUAUGCCGGAAGGUGAAAGGCUUGCUGCCUGAAGAUAAGCUCGCGUCUGAUUAGCUAGUUGGUGGGGUAAGAGCCUACCAAGGCGACGAUCAGUAGCUGGUCUGAGAGGAUGAUCAGCCACACUGGGACUGAGACACGGCCCAGACUCCUACGGGAGGCAGCAGUGGGGAAUUUUCCGCAAUGGGCGAAAGCCUGACGGAGCAAUACCGCGUGAGGGAGGAAGGCUCUUGGGUCGUAAACCUCUUUUCUCAGGGAAGAAGAAAGUGACGGUACCUGAGGAAUAAGCAUCGGCUAACUCCGUGCCAGCAGCCGCGGUAAUACGGAGGAUGCAAGCGUUAUCCGGAAUGAUUGGGCGUAAAGGGUCCGCAGGUGGUACUGUAAGUCUGCUGUUAAAGAGUCUAGCUCAACUAGAUAAAAGCAGUGGAAACUACAGAACUAGAGUGCGUUCGGGGCAGAAGGAAUUCCUGGUGUAGCGGUGAAAUGCGUAGAUAUCAGGAAGAACACCGGUGGCGAAAGCGUUCUGCUAGGCCGCAACUGACACUGAGGGACGAAAGCUAGGGGAGCG